AGACUCAACUCUCGAGAGGUUUCUUGCGAGUUGGAUUUGGGUGUUGCCGUUUGGCUCGCCUCAAAAGUGUUAGUGGUUCAAACACUUGAUCGGACGUGAUAAGUUUCGUCCGGCCGUGUGUCGUCGACCGCUCCCAAACCGCCUUGCGGCGCUCUUUGACU
rnacentral:misc_RNA from 1 species